GGAGGUAGUGUGGUUGCAGAAGUUAAUCACAGAGCUUGAAGUUAUACACUCUAUUAAUGACCAUGUUCUGCUGUAUUGUGACAGUAUUGGAGCCAUAGCUCAAGCGAAAGAAUUGAAAUCACACCAACGUACCAAACACAUUCUGCACUGCUAUCACCUUGUACGUGCGAUCAUAGUUUGAGGUGAUGUCGAGCUUUAGAAAAUCGAUGA
rnacentral:lncRNA from 1 species